rnacentral:rRNA from 1 species
GAUGAACGCUGGCGGCGCGCCUAACACAUGCAAGUCGAACGAUUAAAGCACCUUCGGGUGUGUAUAAAGUGGCGAACGGCUGAGUAACACGUGGGCAACCUGCCCCUUUCAUUGGGAUAGCCACGGGAAACCGUGGAUAAUACCGAAUACUUCGAGACUUCCGCAUGGAAGACUCGAGAAAGCUCCGGCGGAGAGGGAUGGGCCCGCGGCCUGUUAGCUUGUUGGUGGGGGAACGGCCUACCAAGGCAAUGAUGGGUAGCUGGGUUGAGAGACCGACCAGCCAGAUUGGGACUGAGACACGGCCCAGACUCCUACGGGAGGCAGCAGUGGGGAAUCUUGCACAAUGGGCGAAAGCCUGAUGCAGCGACGCCGCGUGCGGGAUGAAGGCCUUCGGGUUGUAAACCGCUUUCAGCAGGGACGAGGCGAAAGUGACGGUACCUGCAGAAGAAGCCCCGGCUAACUACGUG